GUUUAUGUUUCAUGUUAAACUAUUGGUGAUGUUGUUGGGUAGAGUUACCCAAGCUACAUGGAGCAGUUAAUGUGGCCAAAUAUGAUGUCUCAUAAUAUGCAGCCAAAUAUGGCACAAGGCGGAAGUGUCCUCCCGGCACAAGGCGGAAGCGUCCUCCCAUUUUCUCCAAGUUUAUGCCCAACCGGAACAAGUUUUAACCUAUUUAUAAACAAUUUCCCAAGUUCACAAAGCACCAUGCCUAGUUUUACCGGUACUCAAGUUUGGGGAAGAGGACAAUCAAGUUUUUGGGGAGAUCAACGUCGAGGUUGGGAAGGAGCACAAUCAAGUUUUAUGGGAAGUCAAGGGCAAGGGUGGGGAGGAGCACAAUAAAGUUUUUCAGAAAUGAUGAAUGCAAAUGAUAACAGCGAAUAGUAGAAAACUUGCUUAUUGAUAUAGGGAGUUUCUUGUAUUUUGUUAGAAACUAAUUUAUGGUAAUUCUCUCAUUCAUGUUUUGUGGUGAAGUGAAAAUUAUGUGGUGCUGGAAAUUGAGUUUCUAGAGUGCUGAAAUUGAGUUUCAGUUUGGAGUUUCUGGACUGGUGGAAUUUGAGUUUCUAGAAUGUCCUUGUGUCGUGUCCGUUUCCGUGUCGGACACGGCUCGUGUCCUAGUUUUUGAAAAAUAAUUUGAAACAUUGGUGAGAUGUGGAAUUUGAUCCCAAACUAAUUUUCU